rnacentral:lncRNA from 1 species
GCCAAAACUUGAUUCUACUUUUCAGGCAUUUUUUGCCUAACAUCUUAGUCUUUUGUCCUUUGAACAGCGUAAGAAUUUGGCAAAUAUCUUAAGUGAAAAUCCACUAGUGUUGGGCUUAUUUCUUUAUUAUUUCCUCCUCUUCAAGAUCUUUUUUUUUUCCUUAAAGAUUGACCCUGAGCCAACAUCUGUUGCCAAUCUUCCUCUUUUUCUUUUUUUUUCUUCUCUUCAAUGGUACAUAGUUGUAUAUUCUACUUGGGAGUGCCUCUGGAUGUGCUAUGUGGGACGUCACCUCAGCAUGGCUUGGUGAGCAGUGCUAGGUCCAUGCCCAGGAUCUGAACCAGCAAACCUUGGGUUGCUGAGGUGGACUUUGUGAAGCUAACCACUCAGCCACAGGGCUGACUCCUCCUCUUCAAGAUCUUGAACCUUAAAUCCUAGAUGCUUGAGAGUCCUAAACUCCAAUUUUUGUCUUUCCAUCCCUUUAAGGUCAUCAGAAGAACUGUUGGCUUCUCCGUCUCCCAGCAGAGGCCCCUCGGUUCUAUAUCUCUUUUAUUUCAGCUCACAUCUCUGCAUUGCCUUCCUCCUGGAAUUCUCUCUCACACAGCCCAUUUGGACAGCAUAAGAUGA